AAAGUUGAUACCAUGCCUUUGCUCGCUUUCUCUAUCAUCUCACUAUCAUAAUCUGCGCUAUCAGCUAAUCCAAUUUGAAUAUCCCAAGAGUACACUCAGAUAAUUCGUCAUUCUCAUCACUUUCAGCUCUUUCUUGUAUUCGCGCGUUAUUAAACUGCUCCAAAGGCUUUCGAAGACAAACAAAUAGCUCUCGACAAGAUGGGAACUGGGGCUGAAAAUGAGAUGUUUGUCGGGCUUGGUCGCAAAGAGGUGAUGGAAGAGUCGAACAAGCCUCUGUGGAGAACUCUUCGGAUAAUUCUUCUGGUCGUGUUCUGGCUAUCCUGGGUCGCGUUAAUAGUCGGUGGGGCUCUAACAGUUCUGAUGAAUUCAUCAAACUGCGAGUAAAAUUUUUAUCCAUAAAGAACUCAGACACCUGGGAAUAUUAUUUACUGUUACUGAUAUUACUGUAAAUACUCAUUGUUAUUGUAAGUGCUCUAUAGAUGGUUCCGAAGAAGCAAAACUGUUGCAUA